UCCCUUGGAAUAAUUCUAUGGAUACAUCUCUCAGGGAUUUCCUAAGUCUUCCAUUGUGUUUAUCUCCAGAGAACGUUGUUUGGAAGACCCAAACAAUCUAGAAAGGUGUUAUCUCAGAAUCAGAUCAGCAGUUUACAGAAGGUACUUCCAAAACCACUCAAAAGCAAGAGGAAAUAAUUGUUCUUUUUUGCUUUCCCAGAUUGGGAGCAUCACCACUUUUCACUCAUGAAGAGACCUAUGUUGUUCCUUCAAGGACUGAUUUUGAAGAAAGCCAUCAGCAGUCCAAAAGCACAUUGAACUGCAUUAAUUUAACAGUAUAGAUGCACCCUGACAGAGUUACCUGAGUGGUUCCUUUGACUUUGGCAGCCUCAGUGGAUAAACAUUCUUCCAGCCUGGA